CUUGAGUUCUUCUCUGAAAUUGUAAGCAAAGAGGUGUGGGUCUUCAUCACACAUUUUUCGGUAUGCGUCACAGAGGCUCUUAAAAUGUAAGACAGAGAGCUGGGUGGGUCGAAGAGUAGGGUCCACAUCUGCCAACUUUAACAGUUUCCCAGUGCUUUCUAAACGCUGAGCUUCAGGGAAUAACAUUCUGAAAGGAAGAGAAAAAUGUCAGAAUUCUACUUAAAUUCUGCCCAUCAUCAUGCUUCCUUCUACCCUCAUUUGAAACCGGCAUGGUUCUGACAACUUUGCAGAGGCUUUUCUUCCACCCCCCAGAGCCCUGCAGGACCCCGAGCCAGUGGAGGACUCUGCUUACGCCGCCAGGCAACAGGUACGAACCACCGCUGAAGGCACAGCUAAUCGGACCUGCACGGUGUGUCCACAUGAGAAAAGAGUUUCUGAAGCUCAAUCAAUACAUGUAUCUUGAAGUCUCAGAGGGCUCGGAAGACAUCGUGGCGAGAGGAGACUGACUUUUUCUUACAGGCUGAUGGUCCCCGCAACCAGGAGCUGCGUGUCCCUACAUUCUCAGGGUUGGAGGGAAAAUACUGGCAUAUGACGUGAGACCGUGUGGACGAGAUGGACCAAAGAUGGCCAACCGGGACGGGCUUCCAGAGGUGUGAGUGGCGUUUCUCCUGCGGGGUCUGAGCCGCCUCACCACGAGCUGCCCCACCAGACCUCUGCCCCAUCGUCAGUCACUGAGGCUGGCAAACGCUGGGAAUGUUCUAAGCAGUCGAGUGAAAACUGCCAAUGGAGGGACUUUCCGCCUGAAAAUGCUCCCCGAAAUGUCCCUCAGCCUUCAGACUAUUUUAGUGACGAUUAUACACCUUCGGUGGAAAAGCCCUUAUUCCACUGCAGAGUGACCAUCUCAAUGUUCUUAUUAAACUUUAAUAGUUUUUCAAA